UACGUAGGGUGCGAGCGUUGUCCGGAAUUACUGGGCGUAAAGAGCUCGUAGGUGGUUUGUCGCGUUGUUCGUGAAAACUCACAGCUUAACUGUGGGCGUGCGGGCGAUACGGGCAGACUGGAGUACUGCAGGGGAGACUGGAAUUCCUGGUGUAGCGGUGGAAUGCGUAGAUAUCGAGAGGAACACCUGCGGCGAAGGCGGGUUGCUGGGCUGACACUGACGCUGAUGCGCGAAAGCCAGGGGAGCGAACGGG
rnacentral:rRNA from 1 species